rnacentral:rRNA from 1 species
AUUGGACCUGAUAUCAGGUAAGAUUACCCGCUGAA